GACGAACGCUGGCGGCGUGCUUAACACAUGCAAGUCGAACGAAGAGCGAUGGACGCUUGCUUCUAUCAAUCUUAGUGGCGCACGGGUGAGUAACGCGUAAUCAACCUGCCCUUCAGAGGGGGACAACAGUUGGAAACGACUGCUAAUACCGCAUACGAUCUAAUCUCGGCAUCGAGGAUAGAUGAAAGGUGGCCUCUACAUGUAAGCUAUCACCGAAGGAGGGGAUUGCGUCUGAUUAGCUAGUUGGAGGGGUAACGGCCCACCAAGGCGAUGAUCAGUAGCCGGUCUGAGAGGAUGAACGGCCACAUUGGGACUGAGACACGGCCCAGACUCCUACGGGAGGCAGCAGUGGGGAAUCUUCCGCAAUGGACGAAAGUCUGACGGAGCAACGCCGCGUGAGUGAUGACGGCCUUCGGGUUGUAAAGCUCUGUUAAUCGGGACGAAAGGCCUUCUUGCGAAUAGUGAGAAGGAUUGACGGUACCGGAAUAGAAAGCCACGGCUAACUACGUG
rnacentral:rRNA from 1 species